rnacentral:rRNA from 1 species
UGGGGAAUUUUGGACAAUGGGCGAAAGCCUGAUCCAGCAAUGCCGCGUGUGUGAAGAAGGCCUUCGGGUUGUAAAGCACUUUUGUCCGGAAAGAAAUCCUUGGCUCUAAUACAGUCGGGGGAUGACGGUACCGGAAGAAUAAGCACCGGCUAACUACGUGCCAGCAGCCGCGGUAAUACGUAGGGUGCAAGCGUUAAUCGGAAUUACUGGGCGUAAAGCGUGCGCAGGCGGUUUGCUAAGACCGAUGUGAAAUCCCCGGGCUCAACCUGGGAACUGCAUUGGUGACUGGCAGGCUAGAGUAUGGCAGAGGGGGGUAGAAUUCCACGUGUAGCAGUGAAAUGCGUAGAGAUGUGGAGGAAUACCGAUGGCGAAGGCAGCCCCCUGGGCCAAUACUGACGCUCAUGCACGAAAGCGUGGGGAGCAAAACAGGAUUAGAUACCCUGGUAGUCCACGCCCUAAACGAUGUCAACUAGUUGUUGGGGAUUCAUUUCCUUAGUAACGUAGCUAACGCGUGAAGUUGACCGCCUGGGGAGUACGGUCGCAAGAUUAAAACUCAAAGGAAUUGACGGGGUCAUAGCU